AACGAACGCUGGCGGCAGGCUUAACACAUGCAAGUCGAGCGCCCCGCAAGGGGAGCGGCAGACGGGUGAGUAACGCGUGGGAAUCUACCCAAUACUACGGAAUAGCUCCGGGAAACUGGAAUUAAUACCGUAUGUGCCCUACGGGGGAAAGAUUUAUCGGUAUUGGAUGAGCCCGCGUUGGAUUAGCUAGUUGGUGAGGUAAUGGCUCACCAAGGCGACGAUCCAUAGCUGGUCUGAGAGGAUGAUCAGCCACACUGGGACUGAGACACGGCCCAGACUCCUACGGGAGGCAGCAGUGGGGAAUAUUGGACAAUGGGCGAAAGCCUGAUCCAGCCAUGCCGCGUGAGUGAUGAAGGCCUUAGGGUUGUAAAGCUCUUUCAGGUGGGAAGAUAAUGACGGUACCACCAGAAGAAGCCCCGGCUAACUUCGUGCCAGCCGCCGCAGUAACAC
rnacentral:rRNA from 1 species